ACUGUUCCCUAGGAUUGGCUUUGGGCUUUUCCUACGUAGCUUAUGUGGAAGGCGAAGAAGGCCCCCUUCCGGGGGGGCCCGAGCCAUCAGUGAGAUACCACUCUGGAAGAGCUCGGAUUCUAACCUUGUGUCAGACCUGCGGGCCAAGGGACAGUCUCAGGUUGACAGUUUCUAUGGGGCGUAGGCCUCCCAAAAGGUAACGGAGGCGUGCAAAGGUUUCCUCGGGCCAGACGGACAUUGGUCCUCGAGUGCAAUGUAUGAUUGCUUUGAAUGUAUGAACGCUUUAUUUAGACAAUGAGCAGCCCGUGGUUCCUGAAUGUGUUUCCGAAGAUCCCUCUAAGCAAC
rnacentral:ncRNA from 1 species